rnacentral:rRNA from 1 species
AUUGAACGCUGGCGGCAGGCCUAACACAUGCAAGUCGAGCGGAUGAAGGGAGCUUGCUCCUGGAUUCAGCGGCGGACGGGUGAGUAAUGCCUAGGAAUCUGCCUGGUAGUGGGGGAUAACGUCCGGAAACGGGCGCUAAUACCGCAUACGUCCUGAGGGAGAAAGUGGGGGAUCUUCGGACCUCACGCUAUCAGAUGAGCCUAGGUCGGAUUAGCUAGUUGGUGGGGUAAAGGCCUACCAAGGCGACGAUCCGUAACUGGUCUGAGAGGAUGAUCAGUCACACUGGAACUGAGACACGGUCCAGACUCCUACGGGAGGCAGCAGUGGGGAAUAUUGGACAUGGGCGAAAGCCUGAUCCAGCCAUGCCGCGUGUGUGAAGAAGGUCUUCGGAUUGUAAAGCACUUUAAGUUGGGAGGAAGGGCAGUAAGUUAAUACCUUGCUGUUUUGACGUUACCAACAGAGUAAGCACCGGCUAACUUCGUG